UCACACCUCUUCCUCUUCAUCUUUCUCUUCCUCUUCCCACCACAUAUCUUCCUCUUUCCACCAAGCUUUCUCUCUCCGGUGGUGAUUAGCUCUAAGAGAAUAUAGCCUCGGUGGUGAUAUCCGGAAUAUAGCUCCAUCUGCCUCAAUCUCUGUCUCCUCUCUUCCUACACAACUCCAAGGAAAAGCAGCAGCAGCAGCAGCAGAUGCCCAGCUUUUUGGCCUCCUCUCCAAUCUCCUCCAGCAGUUCUCCAGUCCUCGAUUUUUGCAUCUCGAACUUUGCUCGCAAGGUAACCUUCAUCAUCUUCUGAAUUUUUUGGAUCUAUCUUUGCGCCUUCUUCCAAGGUAUUCAUUCCAUUUUCCCACCACUUCGAAUUGUGUUGAUUGUGGACAUUUGACGAGUUUUUUGCAUUUUCUUUGAAUUAUUUGAUUCAAUUUUAGUUUCUUUGCAUUUUCUCUGAAUUUUUUUAAUGGGCAUUAGUUUUUUUGUUUCAAUGGGUUCAAGGUUCUAAGACAAAUUAGAUCUAAUUUGAUAUAAAUGGUGUUUUUUUUUAAUAUAGAAACUGGGCAAACCCUUUUUCCAUUGGAUUGAUAAUAGUUUAUUACUUGAGUCUUUCCGCUCACAAUUAAUUGGAAUAAGUUUUUUUUUUUUUUUUGUGUCUUUUUAUAAAAAAGACAAACUAAUUUCAUGACUUAGAAAUUUUACCAAGUUUUUCUACUAAACUACCAACUAAAUUAAGCCUUAGAAAACAUAGGCUUGCACCCUCUUUACAAUUGGUUUUGACAGACUGUCUGUGAGUCCUUCAUAUUGGUUUGAAAUUUUAGGAAAUUACGAGACAUGAGCAUCUUGAAGGAGUUGGAAAAAUUUGUUCUUUACCUGCUCACAAAACUUUUGCUUUAUUGUUGAAUAUAAACUGUGUUCACACCAAUUGUUUUCAGUUCUCCUUGCAAUAUCUGUUCCAUAAAUGAAAAAUAAUACAUGGAAGUGAAAGGUAUGCAUUCCUUUUAAACACUAAAUAGUACAGAUUCAGUCAGUUUGUUUGUUUGUUUUUUUUUUUUUGCCAGCAAAUAACAACCACUUUCUAUAAUAGGAAUGCACUUACAAAUACUUGGUAGCAUGGGAUUUGUUACAUUUGAGAGGGACACAAAUGCCUUGAGAGCCAGAAAAGUAUUGAUACCUAGAAUAAUAAACUCUAAUUCCCUCUCAAAACAAGAAUGAAAUCAGAAUCCAGAAAAGCCCAUAGUGUUGCAAUAAAAAAUAAAGAAUAAAAAGACAUCCAAAGGGAUUGCCCCCAUUUUGGUCUAAUAAUAACCCAAACCCCUGCACCAUCAAUGGGGGCAAUUUUGGCCACAUUAUUCUCCAAAAUUGAUGGGACUAAACUGAUAUAAUAAAUGGCUUUGGAUUUUUGGAAGAAAAUAAAUGGGGUUUUUUAAGUUGUAUUGAUUUGUAAAUGAUGGGAGAAUUAAGUUAGUUAGAGUUUGUUGUUGAAUUACCAAGCGAAGGGUUUGCUUUUUGAAUUUUAUUUUAUUAAAUUUUUUCUUAAGAACACGUCUUUCUUAAAUUCCCUCUAACCUUAUGUGAUCAAUUAAAGGAAGUUCCAAAAAGAAAGAUUCGAAAAAAAAUAAAAUCCAAAGAAAAUAUUGAUUGAUUUUUAUAAAUUAAUAUUUUUAUCAAUCAUUAAUUUGUAUUUGUGUUGAUAAUGUGUUGUGUUUGUUCGUACUGUUUGCAUUGGGUAACCAAUUAUUAUUUUGCAACAAUGUAUGUGUUUGGUUUGAAUUGGGUAGUCUCU